rnacentral:lncRNA from 1 species
CUGGUCAGGAGGACUUGCCAAAGCAGCCAUGAUGGAGAUCCCUACGUGGCAAGGAACCAAACACCAGGCAGGAAAGGAAGCCUUCAAUCCACUGGGCCAUAAGGAACUGAGUCCUACCAGCAAGCACGUGGGCUUGCAAGUGGAUCCUUCCCUGCUGAGUCUUGAGAUUGUUACCUGGUAUAAUGCCUACUUGACAUAGGUGAAUUUCUACCCUGUAAUAACACUGCUUAUCUUUAAGAAACAGGACACCUGUGAUAAAAAGUUCCCUCUGUAACCAGACCAGCUGAGAUUUGUUAGAAGCAAGAUAGCCGACCCAAGGACUUCAAAAAGACCUCAGGUGUCAUUAUAAUCCUAUUUCCAUGCUAAACAGCCCCCUCACCAGCGCCAAGACAGUUGACAAUCACCAUGACAAUGAUCAGAAGCAGCCAUAAAAGGAUAAAAAGGAAGGCAACACUCUGGUUCCGGGAAGUUCACUGCCCAUUUCAAGAGAAGACAUGAUUAUUCCUCCCCUUGAUUUUAAUGUCCAGCCUCUUCAUUAAAACAGCAACAACAACAAAGUCUAUAUUUUAACUUCCUCACCCCUCAUUAGUGGAGAAGCUGAUUUGUGAAUUUGUGAGCCAUGCUCCUGCUUCUCAAUUCCAUGGCCAUUGAAUAAAGCCUGUACUGCUUGACACUACUUUCGGUUUUGUGUGUUGGCUUCAUGACACCCAACAGGAUAAGACCCCAUUCUUUUGGGGCACCAGCUUUGUCGGUAAGAAGUU